rnacentral:tRNA from 1 species
AAGGCUUUAAGUUAAAAAACUAUUAACCUUCAAAGCUAAAAAUAUAAGAAAAAUCUUGUAAGCCUUA